UACGUAGGGGCAAGCGUUGUCCGGAAUUAUUGGGCGUAAAGCGCGCGCAGGCGGUUAAUUCAGUUGGGUGUUUAAGCCCGGGGCUCAACCCCGGUUCGCAUCCAAAACUGGUUGACUUGAGUGUAGGAGAGGAAAGUGGAAUUCCACGUGUAGCGGUGAAAUGCGUAGAGAUGUGGAGGAACACCAGUGGCGAAGGCGACUUUCUGGCCUAUAACUGACGCUGAGGCGCGAAAGCGUGGGGAGCAAACAGG
rnacentral:rRNA from 1 species